GACGAACGCUGGCGGCGUGCUUAACACAUGCAAGUCGAACGGAAAGGCCCUGCUUUUGUGGGGUGCUCGAGUGGCGAACGGGUGAGUAACACGUGAGUAACCUGCCCUUGACUUUGGGAUAACUUCAGGAAACUGGGGCUAAUACCGGAUAGGAGCUCCUGCUGCAUGGUGGGGGUUGGAAAGUUUCGGCGGUUGGGGAUGGACUCGCGGCUUAUCAGCUUGUUGGUGGGGUAGUGGCUUACCAAGGCUUUGACGGGUAGCCGGCCUGAGAGGGUGACCGGCCACAUUGGGACUGAGAUACGGCCCAGACUCCAACGGGAGGCAGCAGUGGGGAAUAUUGCACAAUGGGCGGGAGCCUGAUGCAGCAACGCCGCGUGCGGGAUGACGGCCUUCGGGUUGUAAACCGCUUUCGCCUGUGACGAAGCGUGAGUGACGGUAAUGGGUAAAGAAGCACCGGCUAACUACGUG
rnacentral:rRNA from 1 species